UACGUAGGGUGCAAGCGUUAUCCGGAUUUAUUGGGCGUAAAGCGCAUGUAGGCGGCUUUGCAAGUUUGAUGUGAAAUCCCUGGACUCAAUUCAGGAACUGCAUUGAAUACUGCAUGGCUAGAGUAUGAGAGAGGUAGGCGGAAUUCCUGGUGUAGAGGUGAAAUUCGUAGAUAUCAGGAGGAACAACAGAGGCGAAGGCGGCUUACUGGAUCAUAACUGACGCUGAGAUGCGACAGUGUGGGGAGCGAACAGG
rnacentral:rRNA from 1 species